rnacentral:rRNA from 1 species
UAUAGAUGGAUCCGCGCUGCAUUAGCUAGUUGGUAAGGUAACGGCUUACCAAGGCAACGAUGCAUAGCCGACCUGAGAGGGUGAUCGGCCACACUGGAACUGAGACACGGUCCAGACUCCUACGGGAGGCAGCAGUAGGGAAUCUUCCGCAAUGGGCGAAAGCCUGACGGAGCAACGCCGCGUGAGUGAUGAAGGUCUUCGGAUCGUAAAACUCUGUUAUUAGGGAAGAACAUAUGUGUAAGUAACUGUGCACAUCUUGACGGUACCUAAUCAGAAAGCCACGGCUAACUACGUGCCAGCAGCCGC